rnacentral:rRNA from 1 species
UAGGGAAUCUUCCACAGUGGACGCAAGUCUGAUGGAGCAACGCCGCGUGAGUGAAGAAGGUCUUCGGAUCGUAAAACUCUGUUGUUAGAGAAGAACACGAGUGAGAGUAACUGUUCAUUCGAUGACGGUAUCUAACCAGCAAGUCACGGCUAACUACGUGUCAG